AUGCCGGGGGACGUCGCGACCUCGCCGGCGACGGCGUCGGGGCCGCCGGCAGCCGCGUCCUCUUCGCACCAUCCCGCCACCUCCGCCCGCAGCGCCCUCUCCAACGCCGUCGCGGGCGCCUCCGCCGGCGUGAUAGCAGCGACCUUCGUGUGCCCGCUCGAUGUGAUCAAGACGAGGUUCCAGGUGCACGGCUGGCCCAAGCUAGCCCCUGGCACAGCUGGAGGUAGUGUCAUCAUUGGGAGCUUAGAACAGAUUGCUAGACGGGAAGGCUUUCGGGGAUUGUAUCGUGGUCUUUCCCCGACUAUUCUGGCGCUUUUGCCUAACUGGGCGGUCUACUUUACUGUAUACGAGCAGCUUAAAAGCAUGCUUGCUUCCAGCGAAGGAAGCCAUCAACUCUCUCUAGGGGCAAAUGUUAUGGCUGCAUCAUGUGCUGGAGCUGCAACUACAAUAGCAACAAAUCCACUUUGGGUUGUCAAGACAAGAUUUCAGACCCAAGGAGUAAGAGCUGGUGCGAGGAUCCCAUACAAAGGCACGGUUGCUGCAUUGACGAGAAUAACACAUGAGGAAGGCAUCCGUGGACUAUACAGUGGACUUGUCCCUGCCUUGGCUGGUAUCACUCAUGUUGCCAUUCAGUUCCCUGUAUACGAGAAGAUAAAAGCUUACCUGGCUGAGCGAGAUAACACUACCGUUGAAGCAUUAAGUUUUGGUGAUGUCGCUGUUGCUUCAUCUCUGGCAAAACUAGCUGCAUCAACCUUAACAUAUCCUCAUGAGGUUGUUCGAUCAAGGUUGCAAGAGCAGGGAGCACACUCCGAGGCGAGAUACAGAGGGGUAAUAGACUGUGUUAGAAAGGUUUAUCAUGCAGAGGGUGUAGCUGGGUUCUACCGUGGAUGCGCCACAAAUCUGUUGCGGACAACUCCUGCUGCAGUUAUAACAUUCACCAGCUUCGAGAUGAUUCACAGGUUCCUUCUCAAUCUAGGCUCUCCUGAACCUGAACAACAUCAUCCCCAUCCGCUGAAGCAUUGA
rnacentral:rRNA from 1 species